AAGGCCUUGCGCUUUUGGAGUGGCCGAMGCCUGAUUAGCUAGUUGGUGGGGUAAGGGCCUACCAAGGCGGCGAUCAGUAGUUGGUCUGAGAGGACGACCAGCCACACUGGGACUGAGACACGGCCCAGACUCCUACGGGAGGCAGCAGUGGGGAAUUUUGGACAAUGGGCGCAAGUCUGAUCCAGCAAUGCCGCGUGAGUGAAGAAGGCCUUCGGGUUGUAAAGCUCUUUCAGUUGAGAAGAAAAGGUUGUGGUAAAUAAUCACAAUUCAUGACGGUAUCGACAGAAGAAGCACCGGCUAACUACGUGCCAGCAGCCGCGGUAAUACGUAGGGUGCAAGCGUUAAUCGGAAUUACUGGGCGUAAAGGGUGCGCAGGCGGCUUUGUAAGUCAGAUGUGAAAUCCCCGGGCUUAACCUGGGAAUU
rnacentral:rRNA from 1 species